UACGAAGGGGGCUAGCGUUGUUCGGAAUUACUGGGCGUAAAGCGCACGUAGGCGGAUCGGUCAGUUAGGGGUGAAAUCCCAGAGCUCAACUCUGGAACUGCCUUUAAUACUGCCGAUCUCGAGUCCGGAAGAGGUGAGUGGAAUUCCGAGUGUAGAGGUGAAAUUCGUAGAUAUUACGGAAGAACACCAGUGGCGAAGGCGGCUCACUGGACUGGUACUGACGCUGAGGUGCGAAAGCGUGGGGAGCAAACAGG
rnacentral:rRNA from 1 species